AGAGUUUGAUCAUGGCUCAGAGCGAACGCUGGCGGCGUGCUUAACACAUGCAAGUCGAGUGCGCGUUUUCGUAGCAAUACGGAAAUGGCGCACGGCGCACGGGUGCGUAACACGUGGGUAAUCUGCCCUUCGAUGGGGAAUAACUCGCCGAAAGGCGAGCUAAUUCCGCAUACAUUCCUUGGACUCCGGUUCGAGGAUUCAAAGGCGUAAGUCGUCGGAGGUGGAGCCCGCGCACGAUUAGCUAGUUGGUGAGGUAAUGGCUCACCAAGGCUAUGAUCGUUAGCUGGUCUGAGAGGAUGGCCAGCCACACUGGAACUGAGACACGGUCCAGACUCCUACGGGAGGCAGCAGUGGGGAAUCUUGCACAAUGGGCGAAAGCCUGAUGCAGCGACGCCGCGUGGGGGAUGAAGCUUCUCGGAGUGUAAACCCCUUUCGACCGGGACGAAUACCUCGCAAGAGGGGUGACGGUACCGGUAUAAGAAGCCCCGGCUAACUACGUGCCAGCAGCCGCGGUAAGACGUAGGGGGCCAGCGUUGCUCGGAAUUACUGGGUGUAAAGGGUUCGUAGGCGGUGUGGCAAGUCGGGAGUGAAAUCUCUGGGCUCAACCCAGGGGCUGCUUCCGAAACUGCCGUGCUAGAGUGUGGGAGAGGCGCGUGGAAUUGCAGGUGUAGCGGUGAAAUGCGUAGAUAUCUGCAGGAACACCCGUGGCGAAAGCGGCGCGCUGGACCACUACUGACGCUGAGGAACGAAAGCUAGGGGAGCAAACAGGAUUAGAUACCCUAGUAGUCC
rnacentral:rRNA from 1 species